AGAGUUUGAUCCUGGCUCAGGAUGAACGCUGGCGGCGUGCCUAAUACAUGCAAGUCGAGCGAACGGACGAGAAGCUUGCUUCUCUGAUGUUAGCGGCGGACGGGUGAGUAACACGUGGAUAACCUACCUAUAAGACUGGGAUAACUUCGGGAAACCGGAGCUAAUACCGGAUAAUAUUUGAACCGCAUGGUUCAAAAGUGAAAGACGGUCUUGCUGUCACUUAUAGAUGGAUCCGCGCUGCAUUAGCUAGUUGGUUAAGGUAACGGCUUACCAAGGCAACGAUGCAUAGCCGACCUGAGAGGGUGAUCGGCCACACUGGAACUGAGACACGGUCCAGACUCCUACGGGAGGCAGCAGUAGGGAAUCUUCCGCAAUGGGCGAAAGCCUGACGGAGCAACGCCGCGUGAGUGAUGAAGGUCUUCGGAUCGUAAAACUCUGUUAUUAGGGAAGAACAUAUGUGUAAGUAACUGUGCACAUCUUGACGGUACCUAAUCAGAAAGCCACGGCUAACUACGUGCCAGCAGCCGCGGUAAUACGUAGGUGGCAAGCGUUAUCCGGAAUUAUUGGGCGUAAAGCGCGCGUAGGCGGUUUUUUAAGUCUGAUGUGAAAGCCCACGGCUCAACCGUGGAGGGUCAUUGGAAACUGGAAAACUUGAGUGCAGAAGAGGAAAGUGGAAUUCCAUGUGUAGCGGUGAAAUGCGCAGAGAUAUGGAGGAACACCAGUGGCGAAGGCGACUUUCUGGUCUGUAACUGACGCUGAUGUGCGAAAGCGUGGGGAUCAAACAGGAUUAGAUACCCUGGUAGUCCACGCCGUAAACGAUGAGUGCUAAGUGUUAGGGGGUUUCCGCCCCUUAGUGCUGCAGCUAACGCAUUAAGCACUCCGCCUGGGGAGUACGACCGCAAGGUUGAAACUCAAAGGAAUUGACGGGGACCCGCACAAGCGGUGGAGCAUGUGGUUUAAUUCGAAGCAACGCGAAGAACCUUACCAAAUCUUGACAUCCUUUGACAACUCUAGAGAUAGAGCCUUCCCCUUCGGGGGACAAAGUGACAGGUGGUGCAUGGUUGUCGUCAGCUCGUGUCGUGAGAUGUUGGGUUAAGUCCCGCAACGAGCGCAACCCUUAAGCUUAGUUGCCAUCAUUAAGUUGGGCACUCUAAGUUGACUGCCGGUGACAAACCGGAGGAAGGUGGGGAUGACGUCAAAUCAUCAUGCCCCUUAUGAUUUGGGCUACACACGUGCUACAAUGGACAAUACAAAGGGCAGCGAAACCGCGAGGUCAAGCAAAUCCCAUAAAGUUGUUCUCAGUUCGGAUUGUAGUCUGCAACUCGACUACAUGAAGCUGGAAUCGCUAGUAAUCGUAGAUCAGCAUGCUACGGUGAAUACGUUCCCGGGUCUUGUACACACCGCCCGUCACACCACGAGAGUUUGUAACACCCGAAGCCGGUGGAGUAACCUUUUAGGAGCUAGCCGUCGAAGGUGGGACAAAUGAUUGGGGUGAAGUCGUAACAAGGUAGCCGUAUCGGAAGGUGCGGCUG
rnacentral:rRNA from 1 species